AUGGUUGGGGAGCUCGCCAUACGGGGUGAAGGAUGACCGUCAGGACAUGUGGAGCGUCUGGGAGUGAGUAGGGAGGUAGGAGUAGCGAGAUGUGGGUGACAUUCCCACUGGCCGUAACCCCAAGGUUUCCAGGGGAAGGUUCGUCCGCUCUGGGUUAGUCGGGACCUAAGCUGAGGCCGAAAGGCGUAGUUGACGGACAACAGGUUGAUAUUUCUGUACUACCGAUAACCGUUUGAGAGAAGGGAUGAUACAGUAGGAUAAGCUAAGCACACUGUUGGUUAUGAGUGCCCAAGCAUUGAGGUAGUCAAAGUAGGCAAAUCCGCUUUGAUAAUGCUGGGAGGUGAUGGGGAGCGAAAUUUAGUAGUGAGGUAGCUGAUUGCACACUGUCAAGAAAAGUCUCUAGCGAGGUUAAAGGUACCCGUACCGCAAACCGACACAGAUGGGUGAGGAGAG
rnacentral:rRNA from 1 species